rnacentral:tRNA from 1 species
AAAAUUUUAGUUUAAUUUAAAACAUUUUUUUUACAAAAAAUAGAUAAUAUUUAUAUUAAAUUUUA